GACACAUCAUCCCAAGGAAAGAAGACUGAAGGUUUGUCACCAAGAUAAGUAUGAAGGGGCUGCACAAACCCCCGGUGUCUGCCCUGGCACUGCUCCUGGCCGCGUCCUUCGUCACCUUCUCCUGGAGCGCCCCUCAGGCUCAUUUCCAAAGGAGAAACUGGACUCCUCAGGCCAUGCUCUAUUUGAAGGGUGCACAGGGACGUCGCUUCAUCGCAGAUGAGAGCCAGAGGAAGGACCUGUAUGACAGAGUGCAGCUGGAAACACGCAGCCAUAACACAAAUCCUUUAUCCCUUUCUGAAGCUGCUGUGCUGUUCCUUACUUCCUUGCAGAAAGCACAGGAAGUGGAAGAAGAAAACAGUGAACACCCUGGCUACUUGACAGACAGUCUAUUAAAUUGGUGAAAUUAUUUCAAAUGCCUUUAACAUUUGUACAGCUUUGAACCUGAAAGCAUAACUUGUGUAUCAGUCAGCACAGAGAAUAGGCAGCAGCACUUAUUGCCCCAGUCCACUCCUGCAGAAAUACUCUGAAAAAUCCUACUGAGCAAGUCCCAACACAUAAAGACAGUUUGGGACAGGUCUUGCAUUAUCAAGGCCUCAUUAAAGACUGCUUUGUGAUUGUAUUUUUGUUCUUUCUUUCUGAGUUGCAGAACUGGAAUUAUGCAUAAAUCUGUUAAUUUCAUUCUGUGAUAUCAUUCUGUGCUGAUAAGGAUGUAUUAUUUAUGUAGUUCUGUGGUCUCACUGGAAAGCCCUCUUCCAUUCUGAUGUAA